GAUGAACGCUGGCGGCGUGCCUAAUACAUGCAAGUCGAGCGAACAGACGAGGAGCUUGCUCCUCUGACGUUAGCGGCGGACGGGUGAGUAACACGUGGAUAACCUACCUAUAAGACUGGGAUAACUUCGGGAAACCGGAGCUAAUACCGGAUAAUAUAUUGAACCGCAUGGUUCAAUAGUGAAAGACGGUUUUGCUGUCCCUUAUAGAUGGAUCCGCGCCGCAUUAGCUAGUUGGUAAGGUAACGGCUUACCAAGGCAACGAUGCGUAGCCGACCUGAGAGGGUGAUCGGCCACACUGGAACUGAGACACGGUCCAGACUCCGACGGGAGGCAGCAGUAGGGAAUCUUCCGCAAUGGGCGAAAGCCUGACGGAGCAACGCCGCGUGAGUGAUGAAGGUCUUCGGAUCGUAAAACGCUGUUAUUAGGGAAGAACAAAUGUGUAAGUAACUAUGCACGUCUUGACGGUACCUAAUCAGAAAGCCACGGCUAACUACGUG
rnacentral:rRNA from 1 species